rnacentral:rRNA from 1 species
AUUGGACGCUGGCGGCAUGCCUUACACAUGCAAGUCGAACGGCAUCGCGGGAAAGCUUGCUUUCCUGGCGGCGAGUGGCGAACGGGUGAGUAACACAUCGGAACGUACCGGCUAGUGGGGGAUAACCCGUCGAAAGACGGGCUAAUACCGCAUACGCUCUUCGGAGGAAAGCAGGGGACCUUUGGGCCUUGCGCUAGUCGAGCGGCCGAUGUCCGAUUAGCUAGUUGGUGGGGUAAAGGCCUACCAAGGCGACGAUCGGUAGCGGGUCUGAGAGGACGAUCCGCCACACUGGGACUGAGACACGGCCCAGACUCCUACGGGAGGCAGCAGUGGGGAAUCUUGGACAAAGGGGGCAACCCUGAUCCAGCAAUGCCGCGUGGGUGAAGAAGGCCUUCGGGUUGUAAAGCCCUUUCGGCAGGGAAGAAAUCGGCGGGGCGAAUAACCCUGCUGGAUGACGGUACCUGCAGAAGAAGCACCGGCUAACUACGUG